GGGAAUAUUUAACUCUACAAUUGAAGUAAAUAAUUGUAGAUCAUGCAGGCCGGUGUCACACAGUGGAUCACAUGGAUCAAUCAGAAUGGAAAACAAUGGCAUCCCUACUUACUUGGUGAGCAAUGCAGGGGUUCAGUCAUACAGAAACAACCAUAUCCAGAGAUCCAUGGUCAUACCAAGAAAUGCAACAGUUACUCAUUAUCACAAUAAUAUUCAGCAAGGUGUUUCAAAAAUAUGGAUGUGUAAUCAUAAAGAACGGCCAGCCUGUUAUCACUGAAGAAAUCAUGAUUUAUUCAACUUAAAAGUAAAGGGGAAAUAUAAUCCAAAGAAAGUCUUUCAGGGUCUUGAACCAUCAGUUCACUCACAGACCAUAUUUGCAACGCUUACAGGCAGCUAUUUUAAUCAUGCAUGGCCAGCUUUUGCAAUAGAAAAUGUAAAAAUCUUACUGAUUUUGUUUUACAAACUAACAUUUAAUUGGCACAUUUCAAAAUGUUACUGUGUUUCAUAUCUUAAGCAGCGUGUGAAUAUGUCAAAGUUUCAUGAUUAGUUCACCUGAAUUAGAUGAUAUGAUACUGUCUAUUGUCUAUUUGCAUUACUCCUGUAAUUUGUUACGGCUAUUUCAUAAAUGUUUGUACCAUA